GCACAUAUACAUGGCCAAUAAACACGAUUCUGAUUCUGAUUCUGAUUUAUCUCUUUAUCCUGUUUAUAUUCUUAUUAGGUCAUAUCUCCAGUGUUUCCUCGGAGGGGGCUCUCUGCACCAGGGCUGUGAUCGACCGUGGCUGCUUGGGCUCUGUGGGUCCUCUCAGCCUGGCUGGGGGGCUUCUUUGCCUCCCUCCUGCUGUGUGCCCAGCCUGGAGGCUGCGGUCUGUGACCGGCUCUGUGUUUCCUCACUUGGCUACUGAGUAACAGGAGUCUGGUGGAGCAACAGAGGAACAAUUUCAGCCAUUUGGACUCAGCUCAGCCACUACAGAGGAAACAAUGACUUCAAAACAAAAGGACCAACAUGGAGCGAGAAGUCAGCGCUCUCAGGAGGCGGACAAACCUCACAGAAGAAAGG